rnacentral:rRNA from 1 species
UACAGAGACUGCAAGCGUUAUUCGGAUUCACUGGGCGUAAAGGGUGCGCAGGCGGCCGUGUGUGUCAGGUGUGAAAUCCCGGGGCUUAACCCCGGAACUGCGCCUGAAACUACAUGGCUAGAGUACUGGAGAGGGUAGCGGAAUUCACGGUGUAGCAGUGAAAUGCGUAGAUAUCGUGAGGAACACCAGAGGCGAAGGCGGCUACCUGGACAGUUACUGACGCUCAGGCACGAAAGCGUGGGGAGCAAAAGGGAUUAGAAACCCCCGUAGUCC